rnacentral:tmRNA from 1 species
GGGGGCGACCUGGUUUCGACGUGGAUUACGAAACCCGAGGUGCAUGUCGAGGAUGUAGCUGGCCUCGUAAAAUACGCUGCAAACCUAUAGUUGCAAACGAUGACAACUACGCACUAGCUGCCUAAACCACAGACU